rnacentral:piRNA from 1 species
UCUACCGUACAAAAUAUAAUA